GAUGAAGAACGUAGCGAAAUGCGAUAAGUAGUGUGAAUUGCAGAAUUCAGUGAAUCAUCGAAUCUUUGAACGCCCAUUGCGCCCUUUGGUAUUCCUUAGGGCAUGCCUGUUCGAGCGUCAUCUAAACCUUCAAGCCCUGCUUGGUGUUGGGUGCCUGUCCCGCCUCCGCGCGUGGACUCACCUCAAAUCCAUUGGCGGCCCCCGCGUCGGCCACGAGCGCAGCAGAAACGCGAACUCGUGAGCCCGUCCGGGCGGCUCCCAGAAGCUAACCCCCAAUUUUUGACCUCGGAUCAGGUAGGGAUACCCGCUGAACUUAAGCAUAUCAUAAGCGGAGGA
rnacentral:misc_RNA from 1 species